rfam:Chlorocebus sabaeus isolate 1994-021 chromosome 1, whole genome shotgun sequence.
AUCCUUUUGUGGUUCAAAAGCAUGUUGGGCUUUCAUGCUCAUGCGUGAGUUGUGACUCCCUCAAACCUUAUUAGGAUGUCGGCGCGUUACCCAUCUGACA